rnacentral:rRNA from 1 species
GACAGAGGGUGCAAACGUUGUUCGGAAUUACUGGGCGUAAAGCGUGCGCAGGCGGUGAUGUAAGACAGAUGUGAAAUCCCCGGGCUCAACCUGGGAACUGCAUUUGUGACUGCAUCGCUGGAGUGCGGCAGAGGGGGAUGGAAUUCCGCGUGUAGCAGUGAAAUGCGUAGAUAUGCGGAGGAACACCGAUGGCGAAGGCAAUCCCCUGGGCCUGCACUGACGCUCAGGCACGAAAGCGUGGGGAGCAAACAGG